rfam:Salmo salar isolate Sally breed double haploid chromosome ssa15, whole genome shotgun sequence.
UAGUAUUUAUUAUGCAAGUCACUCUGGAUAAGAGUGUCUGCUAAAUGACCAACA